UGCAGGAAUGUACCACAUGGAUUUCCUUCUUCCUCUGGUGGAUUGUACAGGGUUUAAACUGCCUUGUGUGUGGUGAUGACCCACAAAGACCUUCUCAGACAUGGACCCUGGACCAUCCCACCCUGACUGUUUACAGGUCAAUCUCCACUUAUUUGAACAGCAGCUCCCCAUAAAAUCCUAGUGCAGCCCUCUCUACGUGCAGAAUAUUGUUAUACUGAAGCAUAUUGAAGUGUAUCUGGGAACUGAGCAAUCCCAAAUUGUGGAGAUCCUCGUGGACAGCAUGGGGCCAAAUCCACCUCCUGGGUGGG